rnacentral:rRNA from 1 species
UACGGAGGGGGCUAGCGUUGUUCGGAAUUACUGGGCGUAAAGCGCGCGUAGGCGGACCUGCAAGUCGGGGGUGAAAGCCCGAGGCUCAACCUCGGAACUGCCUUCGAUACAGCGGGUCUCGAGUCCGGGAGAGGUGAGUGGAAUUCCUAGUGUAGAGGUGAAAUUCGUAGAUAUUAGGAAGAACACCAGUGGCGAAGGCGGCUUUCUGGGCCGAUACUGACGCUGAGGAGCGAAAGCGUGGGGAGCGAACAGG